GGUCUCACCAGAACAGCUCGCAGAGCGCAGCGUACUUAGCUCCGUGUUCCCGAAGGUUGCUCGGGCCAUGUCUGCACCAGGCAUUACAACAUGUGGUGCCAGAAAGGAACUCUGGAUUUGUACACGAUGAUUCCAUCCUCAUCUGUGUUUCCUGACACGUUUGGACAGGAGUCUGGCAGCCCAAGGUGAAGGAACAUUGAGUGGUCACGACUCCAGCUUUGUGCCAUUGCGCCCAGCUUUCAUCAAUCACAGCUUCAGACACUGGACCAAACAAGAUGCCAGAAAAAAAUCUGAGUGAGAAUUAUUUUUGGGGCAUAUCUUUACAAUGCUUCAGGUUGUCAUUUAUCAUAUUCUAGUCUGAGUGGGGGUGAGUUUGGACUCACAUAAAAAAAUAAAACAUAAAAAAAUGUAGAGUGGAAUUAUGGACAGGCAUACCCUGAAGACACAGCAAUGGAGGGAUAUAAAUGUGCUCCACUAGCCAGAUGUUGUGGUCUCUGACAAGGAAAUGUUGUGGGUUCAAAUUUCAGCCUCCUUAGCUUCACAGCUUAGCUCUUGUUCAUCUCCCUUGUUAAAAAUUUCUCCCUUGUUAAAAGAUUCAUGUGA